rnacentral:rRNA from 1 species
AUUGAACGCUGGCAGCAGGCCUAACACAUGCAAGUCGAACGAGUGGCGGACGGGUGAGUAAUGUCUGGGAACCUGCCCGAUGGAGGGGGAUAACUACUGGAAACGUUAGCUAAUACCGCCUACCCUCGGAUGUGCCCAGAUGGGAUUAUCUAGUAGGGGGGGUAACGGCUCACCGAGGCGACGAUCCCUAGCCGGUCUGAGAGGAUGACCAGCCACACUGAAACUGAGACACGGUCAAGACUCCUACGGGAGGCAGAAGUGGGGAAUAUGGCGAAAUGGGCGAAAGCCUGAUGCAGCCAUGCCGCGUGUAUGAAGAAGGGCUUCGGGUAGUAAAAAACUUUCAGCGAGGAGGCGUUACUAACAGAAGAAGCACCGGCUAACUCCGUGCCAGCAGCCGCGGUAAUUC